rnacentral:rRNA from 1 species
AGGGUGUAAACGCUGCAGACUUGGUGUUGGGGGCCCUUUGGGGGCAUUCAGUGCCGGAGAGAAGUUGUUAAGUCUGCUACUUGGGGAGUACGUCCGCAAGGAUGAAACUUAAAGGAAUCGGCGGGGGAGCACCGCAACGGGAGGAGCGUGCGGUUUAAUUGGAUUCAACACCGUAAAACUCACCAGGGAAGACUGUUACAUGAAGGCCGAGAUGAAGACUCUGCUAGAUUUUCAGAGAGGAGGUGCAUGGCGUCAGUGACU